ensembl:lncRNA
CAGCUUUACAAAAAACAACACACAGAAGCUGAGAUGGUGUCGGUUUUAUUCAAUUCCACUGAGGCUGACUGGAGUUUGUACUGUAUGUGUAGUGGUGUGUGGGUAAAAUCACUAGGAAAGCACCCCCCACAAAAAGGCAGAUUUAAACCUGUGUUGUGAUAAUUGUGAUGUUUGCUCUAUAACAUAUAUACAUUAACCUUGAGACUGUGAUAUAUAAUCAUGGACGGAGACACAUUUAGAAAGAUCCUGUCGUACUGCAUUUUAUUAUUGUAUACAAAGAAAAACAAGACACGUGUAUAAAUGCAUUGCUUCAAAACUACUCUUAGUAGCCUCAGUAAGAAGACACUUAUCCACAGCAAAAUAUUACAACCCCUUUUUUAAAGAAACAUAGCAUUUGAAAUAAAUACGUUUGGAUGAUAACAUCUUGCUGAUUGCAUUGGGGGCAAUGCACUUUCACACUAUUUACACUUUAAAUCUGACUAAAUAAUCAUCACCGUCUCACAGACCCUCAGUGCUCACAGAAACUGUUGCCCUUUACAUUCAAACCUCAUCCCUUCAUCGUCACAUUCUAUUUUUAAAUGUGCUUUUGUCAAGGAACCAAAAGUGAAAACUACACAUUUUUCCCAUUACCAGAAUAUACAGUGUACUGUAUACUAUAUAAAGACAGGACAAUGUACCAGAUAUAACUUGGUGUCAAACAGAAGACAUGCAAGCACUCAAUAAAGUGAAGAAUAUGAAUGUGACCAACAUGUCCCUCUUGAAGGUGACAUAAAGUAGACUAUACAGGUUACAUAAAGUAGACUAUACAGGUUACAUAAAGUAGACGAUACAGGUUACAUAAAGUAGACUAUAGAGGUCACAUAAAGUAGACUAUAGAGGUCACAUAAAGUAGACUAUACAGGUUACAUAAAGUAGACUAUACAGGUUACAUAAAGUAGACGAUACAGGUUACAUAAAGUAGACUAUAGAGGUCACAUAAAGUAGACUAUACAGGUUACAUAAAGUAGACUAUAGAGGUCACAUAAAGUAGACUAUAGAGGUCACAUAAAGUAGACUAUACAGGUUACAUAGAGUAGACUAUACAGGUUACAUAAAGUAGACGAUACAGGUCACAUAAAGUAGACUAUACAGGUUACAUAAAGUAGACUAUACAGGUUACAUAAAGUAGACUAUACAGGUUACAUAAAGUAGACUAUACAGGCUACAUAGAGUAGACUAUACAGGUUACAUAAAGUAGACUAUACAGGUUACAUAAAGUAGACUAUACAGGUUACAUAAAGUAGACUGUACAGGUUACAUAAAGUAGACUAUACAGGUUACAUAAAGUAGACUAUACAGGUUACAUAAAGUAGACUGUACAGGUUACAUAAAGUAGACUAUACAGGUUACAUAAAGUAGACUAUACAGGUUACAUAAAGUAGACUAUACAGGUUACAUAAAGUAGACUAUACAGGUUACAUAAAGUAGACUAUACAGGUUACAUAAAGUAGACUAUACAGGUUACAUAAAGUAGACUGUACAGGUUACAUAAAGUAGACUAUACAGGUUACAUAAAGUAGACUAUACAGGUUACAUAAAGUAGACUAUACAGGUUACAUAAAGUAGACUAUACAGGUUACAUAAAGUAGACUGUACAGGUUACAUAAAGUAGACUAUACAGGUUACAUAAAGUAGACUAUACAGGUUACAUAAAGUAGACUAUAGAGGUUACAUAAAGUAGACUAUACAGGUUACAUAAAGUAGACUAUACAGGUUACAUAGAGUAGACUAUACAGGUUACAUAAAGUAGACUAUACAGGUUACAUAAAGUAGACUAUACAGGUUACAUAAAGUAGACUGUACAGGUUACAUAAAGUAGACUAUACAGUUUACAUAAAGUAGACUAUACAGGUUACAUAAAGUAGACUAUACAGGUUACAUAGAGUAGACUAUACAGGUUACAUAAAGUAGACUAUACAGGUUACAUAGAGUAGACUAUACAGGUUACAUAAAGUAGACUAUACAGGUUACAUAAAGUAGACUAUACAGGUUACAUAGAGUAGACUAUACAGGUUACAUAAAGUAGACUAUACAGGUUACAUAAAGUAGACUGUACAGGUUACAUAAAGUAGACUAUACAGGUUACAUAAAGUAGACUGUACAGGUUACAUAAAGUAGACUAUACAGGUUACAUAAAGUAGACUAUACAGGUUACAUAAAGUAGACUAUACAGGUUACAUAAAGUAGACUAUACAGGUUACAUAAAGUAGACUAUACAGGUUACAUAAAGUAGACUAUACAGGUUACAUAAAGUAGACUAUACAGGCUACAUAAAGUAGACUGUACAGGUUACAUAAAGUAGACUAUACAGGUUACAUAGAGUAGACUAUACAGGUUACAUAGAGUAGACUAUACAGGUUACAUAAAGUAGACUAUACAGGUUACAUAAAGUAGACUAUACAGGUUACAUAAAGUAGACUAUGCAGGUUAUUUACCAGGAUUUGGAGUGUAGAUGAGUAGAUCUGUCAGGUGUGUUAGACAGUAGAGGGGUGUCACUACAUUCCUCAGUGUUUGUUUAUACUGUAAGCUUAUGGUGUCUGUCAGGAACGCCACACCAGACACACCCUUACGUAUUCUCUUGGCAGUUAGUCACGUUGUAAAAUCUGUGUCCUUGGUAACUCAAAGCAGAAUGAGAAAAAAACAACACAGUUAUUGGCGGCUUGAAAAAAUGUAUGUGUUGCGUAAGUUGUUUUCUAUGUCAGCUGAAUGCACCUUUAAGUUCAUUGAACCAUGGUUAUGUGAGUGUGAAUUUACGUUGUACGUAAAUUCCCC